GUAAAUUUGAAGAAGCAUUUUCGGUUUCCUUAAAUGCCAAAGACGUUUUGUACACUAAUGACUCUCUCUUGAUUGAUGAUCUUACUCUCAGUACUCUACAGAUUGUCUUCCAACGACUUGAUCACUUGGAUAUGGCCACAAAUUGCUACGAGUAUGCUUACGCCAAAUUUCCAAACAACUUGGAUCUAAUGAUGGGUCUCUUCAAU
rnacentral:misc_RNA from 1 species